rnacentral:rRNA from 1 species
GAUGAACGCUGGCGGCGUGCUUAAUACAUGCAAGUCGAGCGAACAGAUGAGGAGCUUGCUCCUCUGACGAUAGCCGCGGAAGGGUGAGUCACACGUGGAUAACCUACCUCUAAGACUGGGAUACCUUCGGGACUCCGGAGCUAAUACCGGAUAAUAUAUUUUACCGUAUGGUUCAAUAGUGAAAGUCGGUUUUGCUGUCACUUAUAGAUGGAUCCGCGCCGCAUUAGCUUGUUGGUAAGGUAACGGCUUACCAAGUCAACGAUGCGUAGCCGACCUGGGAGGGUGAUCGGCGACACUGGAACGGAGACGCGGUCCAGACUCCUACGGGACGCAGCAGUAGGGAAUCUGCCGCAGUGGGCGGAAGCCUGACGGAGCAGCGCCGAGUGAGUGAUGAAGGUCUUGGGAUCGUAAAGCUCUGUUAUUAGGGAAGAACAAAUGUGUAAGUAGCUAUACACGACUUGACGGUACCUAAUCAGAAAGCCACGGCUAACUACGUG